UACACUCCUACGGGAGGCAGCAGUGGGGAAUAUUGGACAAUGGGCGCAAGCCUGAUCCAGCCAUGCCACGUGAGUGAUGAAGGCCCUAGGGUUGUAAAGCUCUUUCACCGGUGAAGAUAAUGACGGUAACCGGAGAAGAAGCCCCGGCUAACUUCGUGCCAGCAGCCGCGGUAAUACGAAGGGGGCUAGCGUUGUUCGGAUUUACUGGGCGUAAAGCGCACGUAGGCGGACUAUUAAGUCAGGGGUGAAAUCCCGGGGCUCAACCCCGGAACUGCCUUUGAUACUGGUAGUCUUGAGUUCGAGAGAGGUGAGUGGAAUUCCGAGUGUAGAGGUGAAAUUCGUAGAUAUUCGGAGGAACACCAGUGGCGAAGGCGGCUCACUGGCUCGAUACUGACGCUGAGGUGCGAAAGCGUGGGGAGCAAACAGGAUUAGAUACCCCUGUAGUCCCAUGA
rnacentral:rRNA from 1 species